CGGAGCUGCCACAACCCAUCUUCCCACAACUCGGAACUUGGAAAAAGGAACCCAGGACACGACUUUGCUUUUCUUUUGGACCUAGUUGCAACUUUUAAAAGCCUUUCCACUGCACAGUGAAAGAAAACCACAAACUCCUUGUUUAAUAAGUGGGAUCACGUGCUUUUAACACGAGGAAAAGGUCAAUCUGAAGCAACUGAUAUGGAACUGCCAGAGUAGGAGUUGAAAAUCUUCCUAAACUGCUGGAGGAUACACCUCUGAUAGCUUGAGACAAAUAUCCUCUUGAUCAUUGUUUCACCAUAUUUGUCUUUGCUCAUGGAGAACCAUUUUGAUCCGUGGUUUAGCCUCCCAGGUGAUUGAACAAUACCGGUGAUCUGAGGCAGACCCUCUGUGACGGAUAACAGGAGUCCAUUCUCAAUUUUCUGUGCAAAUUGGGGAAGGCUGUUGAUAAUCGGUGGAUGCUAUAGUGCCCAUGGAAAGACUCUAGUCUGAAGAUACCAGUCUCUCCCUCCCAAGAUCACCUCCCCUGACCAACCUUCUGCACUCCUGACAGAUACAAGGGAGCAAGCAAGUUGCACCCAACCUAAUAGUAAAUUGCAGGGACAUUUCCAUUCUAAGGAAGGAAUUUUUGUGUGUGUUGCAACUCAGCUUCUGCUCUGGCAUUUUGCUGUGCAUUUAUAUUGCCAAUCAUGUUGGAGAGUCCAUGUGGUGAUUUCUGAAAACGAGAUGUGAGAAAGAAGAGGAUAAUUUAAGUCUAGACCUACAGAUUGUGCUGAUAAAGUGAUGAAGAACUACAAUCUUCUUAGUCAUU
rnacentral:lncRNA from 1 species